rnacentral:rRNA from 1 species
GAUGAACGCUGGCGGCGUGCCUAAUACAUGCAAGUCGAGCGGACAGACGAGAAGCGUGUGCCUCUGACGGUAGCGGCUGACGGGUGAGUAACACGUGGAUAACCUUCUUCUAAUUCUUGGAGAACUUCGGGAAACCGGUUCCAAUACUAGCGAAUACAUUCAACCGCAUGGAUCAAUAGUUAUAGACGGCUUUGCUGUUUGUUAUAGACGGAUCCGUGCCGGAUUAGCUAGUUGGUAAGGUAACGGCUUACCAAGGCAACGAUGCGUAGCUGAUCUGAGGGGAUGAUCAGCCACACUGGAACUGAGACACGGUCCAGACUCCUACGGGAGGCAGCAGUGGGGAAUAUUCCGCAAUGGGCGAAAGCCUGACGGAGCAAUGCCGCGUGAGUGAUGAAGGUCUUCGGGUCGUAAAGCUCUGUUGUUGGGAAAGAACAACAGUGUGAGAAACUAUGCACGUCUUGACGGUACCUAAUGAGAAAGCAACGGCUAACUACGUG